UACGGAGGGUGCAAGCGUUAUCCGGAUUCACUGGGUUUAAAGGGUGCGUAGGUGGGCUAGUAAGUCCGUGGUGAAAUCUCCGUGCUUAACAUGGAAACUGCCAUUGAUACUAUAGGUCUUGAAUUAUCUGGAGGUUAGCGGAAUAUGUCAUGUAGCGGUGAAAUGCUUAGAUAUGACAUAGAACACCAAUUGCGAAGGCAGCUGGCUACAGGUACAUUGACACUGAGGCACGAAAGCGUGGGGAUCAAACAGG
rnacentral:rRNA from 1 species